GAUGAACGCUGGCGGCGUGCCUAAUACAUGCAAGUCGAGCGAACGGACGAGAAGCUUGCUUCUCUGAUGUUAGCGGCGGACGGGUGAGUAACACGUGGAUAACCUACCUAUAAGACUGGGAUAACUUCGGGAAACCGGAGCUAAUACCGGAUAAUAUUUUGAACCGCAUGGUUCAAAAGUGAAAGACGGUCUUGCUGUCACUUAUAGAUGGAUCCGCGCUGCAUUAGCUAGUUGGUAAGGUAACGGCUUACCAAGGCAACGAUGCAUAGCCGACCUGAGAGGGUGAUCGGCCACACUGGAACUGAGACACGGUCCAGACUCCUACGGGAGGCAGCAGUAGGGAAUCUUCCGCAAUGGGCGAAAGCCUGACGGAGCAACGCCGCGUGAGUGAUGAAGGUCUGCGGACCGUAAAACUCUGUUAUUAGGGAAGAACAUAUGUGUAAGUAACUGUGCACAUCUUGACGGUACCUAAGCAGAAAGCCACGGCUAACUACGU
rnacentral:rRNA from 1 species